GACGAACGCUGGCGGCGUGCCUAAUACAUGCAAGUUGAGCGCUGAAGGUUGGUACUUGUACCAACUGGAUGAGCAGCGAACGGGUGAGUAACGCGUGGGGAAUCUGCCUUUGAGCGGGGGACAACAUUUGGAAACGAAUGCUAAUACCGCAUAAAAACUUUAAACACAAGUUUUAAGUUUGAAAGAUGCAAUUGCAUCACUCAAAGAUGAUCCCGCGUUGUAUUAGCUAGUUGGUGAGGUAAAGGCUCACCAAGGCGAUGAUACAUAGCCGACCUGAGAGGGUGAUCGGCCACAUUGGGACGGAGACACGGCCCAAACUCCUACGGGAGGCAGCAGUAGGGAAUCUUCGGCAAUGGACGAAAGUCUGACCGAGCAACGCCGCGUGAGUGAAGAAGGGUUUCGGAUCGUAAAACUCGGUAGGUAGAGAAGAACGUUGGUGAGAGUGGAAAGCUCAUCAAGUGACGGUAACUACCCAGAAAGGGACGGCUAACUACGUG
rnacentral:rRNA from 1 species